rnacentral:sRNA from 1 species
AUCAAUGGGAGCUUGCUCCCUGAGAUUAGCGGCGGACGGGUGAGUAACACGUGGGCAACCUGCCUGUAAGACUGGGAUAACUUCGGGAAACCGGAGCUAAUACCGGAUAAUGCCUUUCCUCUCAUGAGGAAAGGUUGAAAGACGGUUUCGGCUGUCACUUAUAGAUGGGCCCGCGGCGCAUUAGCUAGUUGGUGAGGUAACGGCUCACCAAGGCGACGAUGCGUAGCCGACCUGAGAGGGUGAUCGGCCACAUUGUUUCUGAGACACGNCGCAGAAUCCUACGGGAGGCAGCAGUGGGGCCCACUCCUACGGUUUGCUCCCUGGGACAGGUGCUCNGAACGAAUGCNAUCGAGCU